AUUGAACGCUGGCGGCAGGCCUAACACAUGCAAGUCGAGCGGAUGAAGGGAGCUUGCUCCUGGAUUCAGCGGCGGACGGGUGAGUAAUGCCUAGGAAUCUGCCUGGUAGUGGGGGAUAACGUCCGGAAACGGGCGCUAAUACCGCAUACGUCCUGAGGGAGAAAGUGGGGGAUCUUCGGACCUCACGCUAUCAGAUGAGCCUAGGUCGGAUUAGCUAGUUGGUGGGGUAAAGGCCUACCUAGGCGACGAUCGGUAACUGGUCUGCGAGGAUGAUCAGUCACACUGGAGCUGGGACACGGUCCAGAGUACUACGGGAGGGAGCAGUGUGGAAUAUUAGACAAUGGGCGAAAGCCUUGUCCAGCCAUGCCGCGUGUGUGAAGAAGGUCUUCGGAUUGUAAAGCACGUUAAGUUGGGAGGAAGGGCAGUCAGUUGAGACGUUGCUGUUUUGACGUUACCGACAGAAGAAGCACCGGCUAACUACGUG
rnacentral:rRNA from 1 species